rnacentral:sRNA from 1 species
UAUCUGCGUGGGCGAAAUGAAGUGAAUAUGAGUAUCUAUUCCCCCCGCUGUGAGGAUAAGUCCCUCUCCUGCGAUAGCCUCGGUAGAAGCUCCGAUGACCAUGCCGGGAGUGACACCGUUCAUUAUAUCAGGAUUUCCCGCCUUGCCUAUGCCUGCUAUCAAGCCGUCCUUUAUGCCCACGUCCGCCUUGAUUAUGCCCGUACAGUCGAUGAUAAGUGCGUUAGUGAUGACCGUAUCAAGACACUCAUCAUCAGCGGCCUUGCAGGACUGUCCCAUUCCGUCCCG